CCUACGGGAGGCAGCAGUGAGGAAUAUUGGUCAAUGGGCGCGAGCCUGAACCAGCCAAGUCGCGUGAGGGAAGACGGUCCUAUGGAUUGUAAACCUCUUUUGUCGGGGAGCAAAAGACGCCACGCGUGGCGUUCCGAAAGUACCCGCAGAAAAAGCAUCGGCUAACUCCGUGCCAGCAGCCGCGGUAAUACGGAGGAUGCGAGCGUUAUCCGGAUUUAUUGGGUUUAAAGGGUGCGCAGGCGGAAGAUCAAGUCAGCGGUAAAAUUGAGAGGCUCAACCUCUUCGAGCCGUUGAAACUGGUUGUCUUGAGUGAGCGAGAAGUAUGCGGAAUGCGUGGGGUAGCGGUGAAAUGCAUAGAUAUCACGCAGAACUCCGAUUGCGAAGGCAGCAUACCGGCGCUCAACUGACGCUCAUGCACGAAAGUGUGGGUAUCGAACAGGAUUAGAAACCCGUGUAGUC
rnacentral:rRNA from 1 species